rnacentral:rRNA from 1 species
GACGAACGCUGGCGGCGUGCUUAACACAUGCAAGUCGAACGGAAAGGCGCUGCUUUUGUGGGGUGCUCGAGUGGCGAACGGGUGAGUAACACGUGAGUAAACUGCCCUUGACUUUGGGAGAACUUCAGGAAAAUGGGGCUAAUACCGGAUAGGAGAUCCUGCAGCAUGGGGGGGGUUGGAAAGUUACGGCGGUUGGGGAUGGAUUCGCGGGUUAUGCGCUGGUUGGGGGGGUAGUGGCUUACCAAGGCUUUGACGGGUAGCCGGCCUGGGAGGGUGACCGGGCACCUUGCGCCUGAGAGACGCCCCAGUCUGCUAUGUUCCGCAGUGGGCGGGAGUCUUGCACAGUGGGCCCGCGCCUGAUACAGAGACGUUCCGUUCGUGAAGCCGUGUUUCGGGUUGAGAACCACUGUCUCCUGAACCGAAGACGGCUUGACGGUACCUAAUCAGGAAGCCCCGGCUAACUACGUG